UAAGACACAUGGCUGGGGACAUCAGACAUGGUGUCAUUUUAUGCUGGUUCCCAAGGGAGGAUGAGGGUGGGAGUCAGGAGCUCAGUGGGGGCUGGCCCAGGAGGGUCUCACUUGAUCUGAUCCCAGGUUGGAUCUGCAAGAGACUUUGUCCAGCCCUCCAAUGGAGGAAGGGUUCAGGGCCAGAAGUAUGAGGAGUAAGGGAGCCUAGAUAAGCUGAACACAGUAUUCCUCAUAUCCCUCUGCCUGCUCACCUGCUUCCAGGCAAAACACUUGAAACUGGCUGAUCAAGAAGAAUGAGACUGAGAAACGAGUGCCUGUAUGGCCCGGCUUUGGAGCACACAAGGCUUUGGUUCUAAUCCUGCCUCUGGGCUGACUGUUUCUGGAGCUGGGGGGCAGGAUAUGGUUCAGGACCAAAGAAGCAACUGUUGGGUUCCUGGCAGCCAUUUCUCUUUAAGCCCAGCCUGGCAGGGUUCCUGCCUUGAAUACCUGCCCUGACUUCCUUCAGUGAUGGACUGUGAUGUGUAAGCGUAAGAUGAACUAAACCCUUUCCUCCCCAAGUUGCUUUUGGUCAGGGUGUUUAUCACAACAAUAAAAACCCUAAGCAAGACGCUGCCCUGUUUUACAUUUGUGGAAAAGGGACUUUAACAUGGUCAAGGUUUUAAUCCACG
rnacentral:lncRNA from 1 species